GAUGAACGCUAGCGACAGGCCUAACACAUGCAAGUCGAGGGGCAGCACAUGCGUAGCAAUACAAUGGUGGCGACCGGCGCACGGGUGAGUAACACGUAUGCAACCUACCUGUAAGAGGGGAAUAACCCGGAGAAAUUCGGACUAACACCGCAUAAUACCUCGAAGCUGCAUGGCUUUGAGGUUAAAUAUUUAUAGCUUACAGAUGGGCAUGCGUAACAUUAGAUAGUUGGUGAGGUAACGGCUCACCAAGUCAACGAUGUUUAGGGGUUCUGAGAGGAAGGUCCCCCACACUGGUACUGAGACACGGACCAGACUCCUACGGGAGGCAGCAGUGAGGAAUAUUGGACAAUGGGCGAGAGCCUGAACCAGCCAAGUCGCGUGAAGGAAGAAGGUUCUAUGGAUUGUAAACUUCUUUUGUAAGGGAAUAAAAAAGCUUACGUGUAGGCUAUUGUAUGUACUUUACGAAUAAGGAUCGGCUAACUCCGUGCCAGCAGCCGCAGUAAUAC
rnacentral:rRNA from 1 species